UAGAGUUUGAUCCUGGCUCAGGAUGAACGCUAGCGGCAGGCUUAACACAUGCAAGUCGAGGGGCAGCAGGGAGCGGCAACGCUCCGCUGGCGACCGGCGCACGGGUGCGUAACGCGUAUGCAACCUACCUUCAACCGGGGGAUAACUCGGGGAAACCCGAACUAAUACCCCAUAUUCUCGUCCCCCCGCAUGAGGGGGCGGGGAAAGAGCUUUGGUUUUAGAUGGGCAUGCGUGGCAUUAGGUAGUUGGCGGGGCAACGGCCCACCAAGCCUACGAUGCCUAGGGGAGCUGAGAGGCUUAUCCCCCACACUGGUACUGAGACACGGACCAGACUCCUACGGGAGGCAGCAGUGAGGAAUAUUGGUCAAUGGGCGGAAGCCUGAACCAGCCAUGCCGCGUGGAGGACGGAGGCCCUAUGGGUCGUAAACUCCUUUUGCCGCAGAGUAAUAAGGGUCCUGCGGGGUCCGAUGAGAGUAUGCGGCGAAUAAGCAUCGGCUAACUCCGUGCCAGCAGCCGCGGUAAUACGGAGGAUGCGAGCGUUAUCCGGAUUUAUUGGGUUUAAAGGGAGCGUAGGCCGUCCUUUAAGCGUGUUGUGAAAUGUAGGCGCCCAACGUCUGCACUGCAGCGCGAACUGGAGGACUUGAGUACGCAGGAAGUAGGCGGAAUUCGUCGUGUAGCGGUGAAAUGCUUAGAUAUGACGAAGAACUCCGAUUGGGAAGCCAGCUUACUGUAGCGCCACUGACGCUGAUGCUCGAAAGCGUGGGUAUCGAACAGGAUUAGAUACCCUGGUAGUCCACGCGGUAAACGAUGGAUGCUCGCUGUGUGCCAUUAGGUACGUGGCCAAGGGAAACCAUUAAGCAUCCCACCUGGGGAGUACGCCGGCAACGGUGAAACUCAAAGGAAUUGACGGGGGCCCGCACAAGCGGAGGAACAUGUGGUUUAAUUCGAUGAUACGCGAGGAACCUUACCCGGGCUUGAACUGCCAGCGAACGAUACAGAGAUGUUGAGGCCCUUCGGGGCGCUGGUGGAGGUGCUGCAUGGUUGUCGUCAGCUCGUGCCGUGAGGUGUCGGCUUAAGUGCCAUAACGAGCGCAACCCCUAUUGUUAGUUGCUACGCAAGAGCACUCUAGCGAGACUGCCGUUGACAAAACGGAGGAAGGUGGGGACGACGUCAAAUCAUCAUGCCCCUUAUAUCCUGGGCUACACACGUAAUACAAUGGCGGUCAACAGAGGGAAGCAAAGCCGCGAGGCAGAGCGAACCCCUAAAAGCCGUCUCAGUUCGGAUCGUAGGCUGCAACUCGCCUGCGUGAAGUCGGAAUCGCUAGUAAUCGCGGAUCAGCAUGCCGCGGUGAAUACGUUCCCGGGCCUUGUACACACCGCCCGUCAAG
rnacentral:rRNA from 1 species